rnacentral:rRNA from 1 species
AGUGAACGCUGGCGGUAGGCCUAACACAUGCAAGUCGAACGGCAGCACAGUAAGAGCUUGCUCUUACGGGUGGCGAGUGGCGGACGGGUGAGGAAUACAUCGGAAUCUACUUUUUCGUGGGGGAUAACGUAGGGAAACUUACGCUAAUACCGCAUACGACCUACGGGUGAAAGCAGGGGAUCUUCGGACCUUGCGCGACUGAAUGAGCCGAUGUCGGAUUAGCUAGUUGGCGGGGUAAAGGCCCACCAAGGCGACGAUCCGUAGCUGGUCUGAGAGGAUGAUCCGCCACACUGGAACUGAGACACGGUCCAGACUCCUACGGGAGGCAGCAGUGGGGAAUAUUGGACAAUGGGCGCAAGCCUGAUCCAGCCAUACCGCGUGAGUGAAGAAGGCCUUCGGGUUGUAAAGCCCUUUUGUUGGGAAAGAAAAGCAGCAGGUUAAUCCCCCGCUGUUCUGACGGUACCCAAAGAAUAAGCACCGGCUAACUUCGUG